UACGUAGGCAGCGAGCGUUGUUCGGAGUUACUGGGCGUAAAGGGUGUGUAGGCGGUUCUUUAAGUUUGGUGUGAAAUCUCCCGGCUCAACCGGGAGGGUGCGCCGAAUACUGAGGGACUAGAGUGCGGGAGAGGAAAGUGGAAUUCCUGGUGUAGCGGUGAAAUGCGUAGAUAUCAGGAGGAACACCGGUGGUGUAGGCGGCUUUCUGGACCGUAACUGACGCUGAGACACGAAAGCGUGGGUAGCAAACAGG
rnacentral:rRNA from 1 species